rnacentral:piRNA from 1 species
AGUGUCAUAAAGUGCCUGGAGUUGAGC